UACGAAGGGGGCUAGCGUUGCUCGGAAUCACUGGGCGUAAAGCGCACCUAGGCGGCUUUCUAAGUCAGGGGUGAAAUCCUGGAGCUCAACUCCAGAACUGCCUUUGAUACUGGAAAGCUUGAGUUCGGGAGAGGUGAGUGGAACUGCGAGUGUAGAGGUGAAAUUCGUAGAUAUUCGCAAGAACACCAGUGGCGAAGGCGGCUCACUGGCCCGAUACUGACGCUGAGGUGCGAAAGCGUGGGGAUCAAACAGG
rnacentral:rRNA from 1 species